UCUGUGGUGCAAAGAGUUAACUCAUUUGACUGCUAACCAAAAGGUUGGAGGUUCGAGCCUACCCACAGAU
rnacentral:tRNA from 1 species